AACAUGUAGAGGUUUUGACACACAGAGAACAGGUCUUGGGUUCUUCCGGGUUGGAAGAGACGGCAGACACAAAGAUCUCGGUAUCGUUAAUGGGCUUUUUCUUAGAAAAAUCUUGUCAGAUCCAUCGAUUGUGGGUGCUAUAGCAGAUUGCUUAACGGUGCAAAUCAUGAUGCAGAAAACAAAGAUUUUUCCAAGUUAAAAAUCCAAAAAGUUCUAAAGGGUAUGUCACAAAAUCAAACAAAACAAUCUGAAAACAAUCAACCCGUGAAGAUGUAGAUCAAAAAGGAAGAGAAUCUCACAAGAAAUAAAUAAAAAGCAAGUCUUUUUACGACUCUUUCUCUAUGUCAA
rnacentral:misc_RNA from 1 species